rnacentral:lncRNA from 1 species
UUUUCUUUUUCUCCAAACUCUGUAAACACUGCAAAAUUAUAGUGAAUUGUUUCUCGGCUUCCGCCACCCAUGGUUUUUCCCGAUUUGGGUUUUCCACAAAGGCAACUCCAAGGACAUAGGAAUUGGGAUGGGGAAGAACCAGGAGUUUGAGAAACCGAUUGAGAGCAAGAAGAGGGAAACAGGGAAAAAACAAAGUUUGAAAUUUGGAUUAAGAGGGAAAAGAGAAUUUAUGGAGAAAAUGGAAAUUUAGAUAAGGGCA